AACGAACGCUGGCGGCGUGCCUAACACAUGCAAGUCGAGCGAUGAAGCACCUUCGGGUGUGCAUUAGCGCCGAACGGGUGAGGAACACGUGAGGAAUCUGCCUUUCUCUUCGGGAUAACUCCGGGAAACCGGGGCUAAUACCGGAUAUUUUCAACUGGCAGCAUCGCCGGUUGAAGAAAGCUUUGCGGUGAAAGAUGGCCUGGCGGCGUAUCAGCUUGUUGGUGGGGGAAGGGCUCACCAAGGCGACGAUCGGUAGCCGGCCUGGGAGGUCGACCGGCCACGCGAGGACUGAGAGACGGCCCAGACGCGUACGGGAGGCAGCGGUGGGGAAUAUUGGACAAUGGAGGAGACUCUGAGCCGGCGACGCCGCGUGAGGGAUGAAGGCCUUGGGGUUGGAAACCUCUUUCGGCAGAGAAUAAGCGAAAGUGAAGGUACCUGCAGAAGAAGCACCGGCUAACUAUGUGCCAGCCGCCGCCGUAA
rnacentral:rRNA from 1 species